UACAUGGGGUGCAAACGUUGCUCGGAAUUAUUGGGCGUAAAGCGCACGUAGGCGGUUCGUUAAGUCGGAUGUGAAAGCCCUCGGCUCAACUGAGGAAGUGCACCCGAAACUGGCGAGCUUGAGUACGAAAGAGGAUCGCGGAGUUCCCGGUGUAGAGGUGAAAUUCGUAGAUAUCGGGAGGAACACCGGUGGCGAAGGCGGCGAUCUGGGUCGAUACUGACGCUGAGGUGCGAAAGCGUGGGGAGCAAACAGG
rnacentral:rRNA from 1 species